UACGGGGGGGGCAAGCGUUGUUCGGAAUUACUGGGCGUAAAGGCUCGUAGGUGGCCAACUAAGUCAGACGUGAAAUCCCUCAGCUUAACUGGGGAACUGCGUCUGAUACUGGAUGGCUUGAGAUUGGGAGAGGGACGCGGAAUUCCAGGUGUAGCGGUGAAAUGCGUAGAUAUCUGGAGGAACACCGGUGGCGAAGGCGGCGUCCUGGACCAACACUGACACUGAGGAGCGAAAGCCAGGGGAGCAAACGGG
rnacentral:rRNA from 1 species